GACGAACGCUGGCGGCGUGCUUAACACAUGCAAGUCGAACGGUGAAGCGCCUUCCUUUUUGGUGGGUGUGGAUGAGUGGCGAACGGGUGAGUAACACGUGAGUAACCUGCCCCCUUCUUCUGGAUAACCGCAUGAAAGUGUGGCUAAUACGGGAUAUUCUGGGUCUGUCGCAUGAUGGGUCUGGGAAAGAUAUUGUUUCGGUGGGGGAUGGGCUCGCGGCCUAUCAGCUUGUUGGUGGGGUGAUGGCCUACCAAGGCGGUGACGGGUAGCCGGCCUGAGAGGGUGGACGGUCACACUGGGACUGAGACACGGAGCAGACUCCUACGGGAGGCAGCAGGGGGGAAUAUUGCACAGUGGGCGGAAGCCUGAUGCAGCGACGCCGCGUGAGGGAUGGAGGCCUGCGGGUUGUGAACCUCUUUCGCCAGUGAAGCAGGCCUGCCUAGUUUGUGGGUGGGUUGACGGUAGCUGGAGAAGAAGCGCCGGCUAACUACGUG
rnacentral:rRNA from 1 species